GAUGAACGCUGGCGGCGUGCCUAAUACAUGCAAGUCGAGCGAACAGAUGAGGAGCUUGCUCCUCUGACGUUAGCGGCGGACGGGUGAGUAACACGUGGAUAACCUACCUAUAAGACUGGGAUAACUUCGGGAAACCGGAGCUAAUACCGGAUAAUAUAUUGAACCGCAUGGUUCAAUAGUGAAAGACGGUUUUGCUGUCACUUAUAGAUGGAUCCGCGCCGCAUUAGCUAGUUGGUAAGGUAACGGCUUACCAAGGCAACGAUGCGUAGCCGACCUGAGAGGGUGAUCGGCCACACUGGAACUGAGACACGGUCCAGACUCCUACGGGAGGCAGCAGUAGGGAAUCUUCCGCAAUGGGCGAAAGCCUGACGGAGCAACGCCGCGUGAGUGAUGAAGGUCUUCGGAUAGUAAAACUCUGUUAUUAGGGAAGAACAAAUGUGUAAGUAACUAUGCACGUCUUGACGGUACCUAAUCAGAAAGCCACGGCUAACUACGUG
rnacentral:rRNA from 1 species